UACAGAGGGGGCCAGCGUUAUUCGGAAUUAUUGGGCGUAAAGGGCGCGUAGGCGGCCAUGCGUGUCUUCCGUGAAAUCCCUCGGCUUAACUGAGGACGUGCGGAAGAAACUGCAAGGCUCGAGUCCGGGAGAGGGGGGUGGAAUUCCCAGUGUAGCGGUGAAAUGCGUAGAUAUUGGGAAGAACACCAGUGGCGAAGGCGGCUAACUGGUCCAGAUCUGACGCUGAGGUGCGAAAGCGUGGGGAGCGAACAGG
rnacentral:rRNA from 1 species